GUGCUUAAAUAUAAUACAGUAUAACCUUUUUAAACUUUGUGUAAAAAAAAUCUCAAAAUAUAUUAUUAUGAUUAUUUUGAUAUAUAUUAAUAAAUGUGACGAUUCGAUUUUGAGAAUAAUUAUCUUCUUUUUUUACAUCCUUUUUUUGAUUCACGAACCUUUAUGAACAGAUUAUUAGCGUCUAUUUACAUUUACGACAUCAGACCAGUGUUGCUUCAAAAGUUAGUAUUUGUAAAACUGUCUCAACUUACAAGACUGGAACAUUUUCACAGAAUUGCUCAGUUAUCUAACUAAUAUAGAAGCAAAAGUUUGUAAAAGUGGUGUGUUUGUAUUAAAACUUGUGUUUUCGGUUAAAGACUGACGCUAUUUUUUAAAUCAAAAAGCCGAUUACACAGAGGGCUUUUGCUGUCAAUUAUUUUUAUACCACAGAUAACACAUCUUUUACCAUAUAUUAAACACAAUAACAGUUUGUUGAAAGUAGACAGUUGGCAUAAUGUUCAUUUGUCAAAAAAAAAGUAAGAACAGAAAGGGCUGGAUGGAUUUGAAUGAAAUUUGGCACACGGAGAGAAGAUAUCUCGAAAUAACACAUAGCCUACGUUAACCUGGCAAUUUAUAGGACUGUAUUUUUUUAAUUUAAUUUUGAUGUAGAUACACUGGCAUCCUACAGGUUUUGCUUUGAACCACUACAGUGUUGUAGAGAUCUUUGCAGCGGGAUAAGCUUAUCACGCGUGCGAAGACGCUAGCUACACUUAGUCUUUUUUAUUGCUUUGAAUGACUAGACGAGCUUGCCGUUCGCCUGAUGGUAAGCGAUACUAUUACUCAUAAACGGUAAAAACCUACCAUACAACACCUUGAAUUACAAAUUAUUGUUUGGUAUUAUACUGCGCUCGCCAUCCUAAUACAUGAGAUGUUAAGUCUUAUUAUGUCCAGCAGUUACACUGGCUACAAUGUCCUUCAAACCGGUACACAACCGUGGCUAUACAUUGCUUGGCGGCAGAAAUAGACAUUGCGGUGGUACCUACCCAGGCGGACUCCCGCAUACAAAAGACCUACCAGUAAAAAUGUAUUAUAAAUGCGAAAGUUUGUGACGAUGUUUGGCCGUCAAACGUAAUUCAAGUAACCAUAAUACCAAUAAACAAUUCUUCCAGAGAUAAAGAAAAUAAAAGCAAGAAAAUAAAACCAUGGCAAAACUUAUUACAUGUACAAACUAUACACCUUUACGAACAAAACUCGACGAUAUGAGAGAUGGACUUGCAGUUCUCGAUGUGGAGCCUACAUAAAGUUUUACUCAAGAAAAUUAAACUGGAGACCGGCAAAGUUCAGUACAUGUACGAAAAUUACACUUAUUACUUGACCGGUAAGACGACGUUUAGCGAGCGAUGGCGCUGCAGUUCAGGCUGUGCCGCCUACAUAUUCGUCAGUAAUGAUGGCCGCCUACUCACUGCCAGGGGGAUGCAUAAACACCCCCCACCGAGGUAUUUUGUCACACCGAAAGGCGUGUACGUCAAGCUUUAAUUGUAUUAUACUGUAGCUUUUUGUAGCUGUUAUUAAGAUUAGGGGUAGGGACGCACGAGCGAUUCAAUAACCGUACCAAUAUUUUUGUGUAGAAAUUCAUGCGGGAAAAUUACCGUAAGUGUGCGUAUACAGAAAGGUUUAGUGUCAACAGCCGAUCAUAUAACCGCCCGUGUGCGCCUACUCUAAAUGUUCAAUAUUUCAUUAAAUAUUUUAAUACUCAAUUUCGUUAUUUGUACUUCAAUAGAAUAAUAUAUGUAUCGUAGGUGUAUUUAUGAAUAGAAUUUGAAGGUUAGAAUAAAUUGAUCUCAUUUUUUUCAUCUAUGUUGUAAAUUUUGAUACAUCUGCAAAAUUAUUCUGCAAAGAAUUUAAACCAUUGUAUAACUACUUUGACUAAAGUUUAUUUAAUAUUAAUAUUGGUAAGGAAACUUUUUUUACCGCCUAAUUGUAUUGAAAAUACUAUAAAGAAUAAUUCAUUGUAGAAGAAUUAAUAUGGACACAUUAUUUCUUAAAAAACUAUAAACUAAUCAUCUUUGUGUUUUCCUGUCGCCAAGUGAAAGAAUGCAGGCAUUAUUAAGUUUUAAAAACAUUAGCAUUAAUUAUGGUAUGUGAAUGUUACAAAAUGAUUAUAUUGUAAGGGUCAUAUCAACGUGUUUUGUUGGGUAAAAACAUACCGCAUUGUACAAUAAUGUUUUAUUAACCUUUUAUAUUAUAAGUAGGAAUAUUACAUGUAUAUUCUCAAAUUAGUGUCAUAAAAGCCAUCCUCCAUUUACUGUCUAUGCAAACGAAGUUUUUAAACAACCCGAUCACGCGCUACAACUGCAACUAAAACGCGGAGUAAAUGCGAAGCACUUAUGAACUGUGUAUCCACUUUUGCAUGAUAAAAUGCGUGCGUGCAAAACGCGAUGUCUGUAUAGACCCUUAGAUCUUUAUCUAAUAUGUAUAUUAUACCUAAUGUUUUAAGAAUUAAGAUUUAUAUUCUCAUAUGUUUCAAAUAAUUUAUGUCUCAAAUAUACGUAAUCAAAUUCUGAAA
rnacentral:lncRNA from 1 species